UACGAAGGGGGGCUAGCGUUGCUCGGAAUUACUGGGCGUAAAGGGCGCGUAGGCGGAUAGUUAAGUUGGGGGGUGAAAGCCCGGGGGCUCAACCUCGGAAUUGCCUUCAAUACUGGCUAUCUUGAGUACGGGAGAGGUGUGUGGAACUCCGAGUGUAGAGGUGAAAUUCGUAGAUAUUCGGAAGAACACCAGUGGCGAAGGCGACACACUGGCCCGUUACUGACGCUGAGGUGCGAAAGCUAGGGGAGCAAACGGGG
rnacentral:rRNA from 1 species